rnacentral:rRNA from 1 species
GACGAACGCUGGCGGCGUGCUUAACACAUGCAAGUCGAGCGGUAAGGCCCUUUCGGGGGUACACGAGCGGCGAACGGGUGAGUAACACGUGGGUGACCUGCCCUCAGCUCUGGGAUAAGCCUGGGAAACCGGGUCUAAUACCGGAUAUGACUCCAUGACGCAUGUUGUGGGGUGGAAAGCCUUGUGCGGCUGAGGAUGGGCCCGCGGCCUAUCAGCUUGUUGGUGGGGUGAUGGCCUACCAAGGCGACGACGGGUAGCCGGCCUGAGAGGGCGACCGGCCACACUGGGACUGAGACACGGCCCAGACUCCGUACGGGAGGCAGCAGGUGGGGAAUCUUGCGCAAUGGGCGAAAGCCUGACGCAGCGACGCCGCGUGA